rnacentral:tRNA from 1 species
AUAAGAUGGCUGAGGAUAAGCGUUAGAUUGUAAAUCUAAGAACAAGUUUUACUUUCUUAUUAA